GGGCAGGUACCCGAGUGGCCAAAGGGGACAGACUGUAAAUCUGUUGGCUAGCGCCUACGAAGGUUCGAAUCCUUCCCUGCCCA
rnacentral:tRNA from 1 species